ensembl:lncRNA
CUGAGAACUGCCAUGGCCUACCUGCUGAACAGCUUUCCUUACAUUGACCAUAUUUGAGGGUGUCCUUUCCUGGAACCACUUGAAGCAGGGAAGUCCAGAUGCUUCUGACAGGCUCCGAGCUCCGAGCUCCUGAUACCAUGUGUGGAAGGCUCAGAUCAAUUCUAUCUCUUCAAGACAGGAGGGUAGCAUUAUUGUCCUCUGCAAGACUCAACAGAGCAGCCGACUGACACACGUGCACAGACAUACGGCCAAAUAUCGAAUGGAGCUCAGUGAGUCUCACUGAAGGGCUGAGGGAAGUGCAGACAGAGACAGAGGAGCACAAUGAUCUUCAGGCCUCAACAAAUACAAGAAGACUGAAUUAAUCCCUUGCAUCCUAUGAGAUCACUAAACACUAAGAAUGGUCUUCAAUAACAACAAGAACAACUAAAGACCCACAUAUACAUGGUAGCUCAGGAAUGAUUUACUCGAGGAGAACUUGUUCAAGGAAGAAAUAAAGAAAAAAUUAAAGACACUUUUGAAUUUAAUGAAAAUGAAGGCAUAACUUGGGAACACAAAAAAGAAAUUCUAAG